UCAGAAUAACAUAGCCUUUGUGUCUGCUGUAAACACGUCAAGAUUCAUAUUAUAACAACAACGAGGAUAUUCGAGACAUGUAAAUGGCAGCAGUGUUUGAUAUGUAAGGAAUACAAACAGAUGAAUUUGUUCUUCAGCUCGGUUUAAGAUGAUUAAAUGAUAUAACAGAGAGUCUCAAUCAGUUAACGCUGCAGUUAUGGAGAUUGAUGAAGAUCUAGAGACUCUGGGAGAGAAACUGUAUGAUGUAAUACAUCCAAAAUACACAGAGAUGAGACCUAAACUUACAGGAUGAAGCUCUGUUGAGUGAAGCACUAGAGAAGACUGACUGCUCUCACAUCAUCAGUAAACAGGUGUAGGGCGGGCAAUGAAACAACAGAUGUGAAUGACGGCUCCGACCAAGAGGAUGUGGAGUCAACUGGCGAGAUGCUUUUCAGUAUUGUACAGCAGCUAGAUCCCGCCCACUGUGCUGACAUCACAGGAAGACGCUCUGAGCCAAACACACAAAUGUCAAAAUGAGGCCUGGGAAACUCUACAGAACAUGUGAUCUGGAAAACACAAUAUACUGCAUCAUCAAGAGAAACUUAGUUAUUUAGACUCUUGGUUAUUGAUAUUGCUGUACAUUUAACUUGCACAUCUAAAGACACUGUUUACAUGAACUUAGGCAAAUGCUAUUUUUGGGCUAUUUGCCACUUUAUAUUCAUAUAGAGUGUGAUCGGUUUCAAACCUACGUCUCCUGCAAGAGCACCACAGCACAACGUAUCUAGAGGCUUUGAUGUUCCACAAGCUCACAUUUAAGACAUUAUGUUUUUAGAUGAGAUGUCAUAAUCAGUGAUCAUUAAAGAUUUUUAUAUUUAAUUUGCUUUAAAAUUAAUAUAUCUUUGUAAAUAAUGCAAAUGGAAUAUAAUUUCAGGUUUUAACAUACAAAUUUGAGUCUUUUUUCACUCUGUGGCUUUGAAUGAGAUUAAUGCAAGUUCAACAUUGUUUUGCUAUUAACUAAUGAAAUAAUAAGUUGG